AUUUGACUGCCAAAUGAUUCAGGUGGUCUAAAAUGUUUUUUUUUAAAUAUUUUUUUGAAAAUUCUCAUAUUCUCUAUUCUAUUUUUGAAUAAUUUUUUAAAAAGCGAUUUCUGAAAACUUUACACUGAAACCCACCUAUCUUUUUUGGGGAUUUUUAAAGAUCACCCACAUGUGCAACUUUCCUUUCAUAAAUUGAUUUGAAAAAAAAACGAAGACUCAGAUGUGUAAUUUCCCAUUCAGUUUUUCAGCAUUUUGGAGGAAAAUUUUACGCUACAGUUUUCAAUCUCAAUAUGGAUUUUUUAAAUAAUUUUUUUUGGAAUUUUUAGUUUUCGAAUCGAC
rnacentral:sRNA from 14 species